rnacentral:rRNA from 1 species
GAAAAGAACUUUGAAGAAAGAGUUCAAGAGAACGUGAAACUACCACGAGGUUAAAGCGGAUGUACAUACGUAGCCGAACAGGGGGUCUCAUCUCCUCGAGCCUCCAGCGGCCGUGGCGUUCGGACCGUCGCCGUCCUUCCUCGCUAACGCGGGGUUACUGGGCGCAGUCGACGGCCGUCGCAGCGGCGGACUCGGAGGAAAGGGGGGUGGAUUUCUCUCCUCAGUAGGCAGUCGCGACCGCUCGAGAGUCGUCUAAGGCCCGGGAGUCGGGAACCGUCCGGCGGCUAGCUCGCCGGCGGGGACGCUCCCUCGAUUCUGGCGGACUCUCGGACGGUACUUUAAAGACGACGCGGAGGUGACCAAAUCCCCGGUCGUGCGCGGCUGUAAUGCGAUCGUUCAUCCGUCCCGUCUUGAAACACGGACCAAGGAGUCUAACAUGUACGCGAGUCAACGGGUUGGCUAAACCCCAAGGCGCAACGAAAGUGAAAAAUCGCUUAGGAGUUCUGCUCCUUAGCGAAUUGGGUCGAUCCGUGCUCCCAUUUUACGUGGACCGGCGCAGACCCGGGGCUCGCCGCUACCUCCUCGAGGCUCGUUCUUCGAGGCGGGUGGCGGGCACCUAGAGCGUACAUGCUAGUACCCGAAAGAUGGUGAUCUAUGCUUGGCCAGGAUGAAGCCAGAGGAAACUCUGGUGGAGGUCCGUAGCGAUUCUGACGUGCAAAUCGAUCGUCAGAGCUGGGUAUAGGGGCGAAAGACCAAUCGAACCAUCUAGUAGCU